GACGGAGGGUGCAAGCGUUGUUCGGAAUUACUGGGCGUAAAGCGCGCGCAGGCGGUUCUUCAAGUCAGAGGUGAAAGCCCAGAGCUCAACUCUGGAAUGGCCUUUGAGACUAGAGAACUAGGGUACGGGAGAGGUGAGUGGAAUUCCGAGUGUAGAGGUGAAAUUCGUAGAUAUUCGGAAGAACACCAGUGGCGAAGGCGGCUCACUGGCCCGUUACCGACGCUCAGGCGCGACAGCGUGGGGGAGCAAACAGG
rnacentral:rRNA from 1 species